rnacentral:piRNA from 1 species
UGAGUGUUGCUUGUUCCAUUAAAAAAAA